rnacentral:rRNA from 1 species
AAUAGAUACCCGAGGUAGUCCACGCCGUAAACGAUGAGUGCUAAGUGUUAGAGGGUUUCCGCCCUUUAGUGCUGCAGCUAACGCAUUAAGCACUCCGCCUGGGGAGUACGGUCGCAAGACUGAAACUCAAAGGAAUUGACGGGGGCCCGCACAAGCGGUGGAGCAUGUGGUUUAAUUCGAAGCAACGCGAAGAACCUUACCAGGUCUUGACAUCCUCUGACAACUCUAGAGAUAGAGCGUUCCCCUUCGGGGGACAGAGUGACAGGUGGUGCAUGGUUGUCGUCAGCUCGUGUCGUGAGAUGUUGGGUUAAGUCCCGCAACGAGCGCAACCCUUGAUCUUAGUUGCCAGCAUUCAGUUGGGCACUCUAAGGUGACUGCCGGUGACAAACCGGAGGAAGGUGGGGAUGACGUCAAAUCAUCAUGCCCCUUAUGACCUGGGCUACACACGUGCUACAAUGGAUGGUACAAAGGGCUGCAAGACCGCGAGGUCAAGCCAAUCCCAUAAAACCAUUCUCAGUUCGGAUUGGUA